rnacentral:rRNA from 1 species
AUCUCUUAAAGCUGUUCUCAGUUCGGACUGCAGUCUGCAACUCGACUGCACGAAGCUGGAAUCGCUAGUAAUCGCGGAUCAGCACGCCGCGGUGAAUACGUUCCCGGGCCUUGUACACACCGCCCGUCACACCAUGGAAGUCUGCAAUGCCCGAAGCCGGUGGCCUAACCACUUAUGUGGAAGGAGCCGUCUAAGGCAGGGCAGAUGACUGGGGUGAAGUCGUAACAAGGUACC